UAACGCGAAGAACCUUACCUGGUCUUGACAUACACAGAAUCUUGUAGAGAUACGAGAGUGCCUUCGGGAAUUGUGAUACAGGUGCUGCAUGGCUGUCGUCAGCUCGUGUCGUGAGAUGUUGGGUUAAGUCCCGCAACGAGCGCAACCCUUGUCCUUAGUUACCAGCACUUCGGGUGGGAACUCUAAGGAUACUGCCAGUGACAAACUGGAGGAAGGCGGGGACGACGUCAAGUCAUCAUGGCCCUUACGACCAGGGCUACACACGUGCUACAAUGGUAGGUACAGAGGGCAGCUACACAGCGAUGUGAUGCGAAUCUCAAAAAGCCUAUCGUAGUCCAGAUUGGAGUCUGCAACUCGACUCCAUGAAGUAGGAAUCGCUAGUAAUCGCGGAUCAGAAUGCCGCGGUGAAUACGUUCCCGGGUCUUGUACACACCG
rnacentral:rRNA from 1 species